rnacentral:rRNA from 1 species
UACGAAGGGGGCUAGCGUUGCUCGGAAUCACUGGGCGUAAAGGGUGCGUAGGCGGGUCUUUAAGUCAGGGGUGAAAUCCUGGAGCUCAACUCCAGAACUGCCUUUGAUACUGAAGAUCUUGAGUUCGGGAGAGAUGAGUGGAACUGCGAGUGUAGAGGUGAAAUUCGUAGAUAUUCGCAAGAACACCAGUGGCGAAGGCGGCUCACUGGCCCGAUACUGACGCUGAGGCACGAAAGCGUGGGGAGCAAACAGG